CUCCAUCUCCGCCAUUUCUACUCCAAAGUCCAAACCCUAGAAUUUCUUCCUCCUAUCUCCGCCACCAUAUCCAAACCGCAUACAGCAACCAGCCUCCGCUGCCACCCGCCGGCCGCUCCCUUCUCCUCCCCUCUCCCUCUAUUUGCUCGAAGCUCCGGAGAUCCAGAAAGACACCAACACACCUUCGUCGUUCCCUUCCCCUCCCUCCCCUUUUCCCGCAUUCCCCAAGCUCCGGAGAAACAGCCGCCAGCAGCAAAUCAGACUCCAUUGCACGCAGCUGCGACUUUGGGAGCAUCAUAGACUGACGGCAAUGACACAGCAGAUAAGACGCUACCUCCUGCUGCCGUCGCCGACGCCGCCUCCCCACCACCGCAGUAGAGUCUGAUUAACACACCGAUUCAGAUUUAUCUUUGCCUUUGUUUCAGGCCUUUGUGGAUAGUGGAACUCAGUCAACAAUCAUAUAAAAAAGCUAUGCUGAACGCCUGAACACUGGUUUGUUAAGGCUUCUAGAUACACUCUAUAGAGGCAUUGCUCAUGAUGUUGGUCAAUCAGAGAUACUUGGUCCGAUUCAUGUUUCUCCUAUCAAUGUUUGUUGGAGACGAAGGUGGUGCAGCAAAGACAGCCCCUAUGAAGAUGAAAGUCCAGUUCAUGCUUCAAGUGCCACAAGAUGAUAUCCAAUCAUCAGCCCUGAUGGUCCGCGUUAAGAAGAGAUGGGACUUAUGAUAUGAUGAUGUUGCGGUAAUUAAAGGCAAAAAUGAUGCUUUCCUAUCCUUUGAAAUGUUUAAUGUAAGAUGGGGCAUUUCUAUCAAUAGUUUUCCCCUUGUACAAAGCUUUAGACAUUUUUCUCCCCUGCCCUCUACUCCUCCAGUUCGUUGUUACUAUAUAUGUGCACAUGAUGCCCACCAGGACAAAGGAUUAGUUGGACAUGACAAUUGACAUUUACUGGUGUAUAAGGUGAAACAUUCUCAAGAUAAGUUUGAAUCUUUUGUAUGUUUAAUCUUCUAAUACUAAUGAAACAUUUGACAGACUCUGUUUGUUGUAACCACUGAUGGGAAAUACAAAUAUUUACAUUUUUGCAA